ensembl:lncRNA
GUGGAAGGGAACUAAAUAUUCAGGGAAUUGCUGCCCACGGAGCUGGGGGAAUUGGUUUUGUGUGGCCCCUUAGUACUAUUUAAGCUGAGUUUGAGGCCCAAAGAGCAAUUAGGAGGUUUGUGUUGUGUUCUGCUGCUUUUUAUCUGUUAGAGGCUGGAUCUCUAGCUGAAGUGUAAGUUCAGUUUCCCAUUAAGGCUGAAGGAGUUGCUGCAAACAAGCUCCAUCUGAACUGUAUUACUCCAUGGGAUUAACACCAGAUACAGGUGUUGAUUGCCACCUUACAACUAAUAAAUGUGGGUGAUGUGAAUCCCUGAUUAAGAGUAGAGGCAUGAUGCACCAGAACUGCAUUAGCACUGCAGGUUCUGUUGAGUGACAGCAUGGGGAGCAACUUCAGCAUGCAGACCUGCUGUGGGAGUUGUAAGAAGCAGGAGGAAGCAUAUGAAGAGACUAGUGAGACCAAGCCAAUUCUGCACACCUCAGGGGGCACACCAAUGCACACUGAUACGCAACCUCCCCCACCAGCCCUGGAAGCCUCUGAAAGAAUCUCUGAAGAAGCUCAGUCACUCUGCUGGGACCAACAGCUGUCAGCUGAUAUUGCAGAGGGGAGCACGGAGACCUGCUGUCCUGCAGAUCCCAUGGGAAUGAUCGAGGAAUGGAAGACAGCCUGGAGCUCUGUGGAUUUCUUGGUGACAUCCUCAGGCAGGGAGACCAAAGAAGAGGCUGAAGUCCUGGAUCAGCAAGAAGGAGAGAAAGCAUGUAAUGCAGAAGAGAAAAUAAAACCUACUCCUUAUGAUGAGGCCCAGCUGGCUAUGCACACAGCUCAGGAUCUGAAGCUUGUUGCAGAUAUAGGACAGCCUGCUGAACAGGCUGGGGCUGGCAGUGAGGAUGACCAACAUGCUGAAAUAACUCCCCAAGAAAUAAAUAAUCUCGAGCUCAUGGAAAGCACAUGGGAAACUGCAGCUGCUCAAGACUUUGAGAUAGAGCCUCCCAUGGAGACUGGUGAGAGUUUCACAGGAUGGAACUUGCCACUCUGUGUUGUGCAGAAGAUGGCAAAAGAGGCUGAGACCGACCUUCGUGCUGGGCACACAGAGCAGGCAGACAGGGCUGGCCUUGCUGAAGGAAGUACUGAACUCACUGAGAGUGUCCAGAUCACACCUCUUGCAAAGGCUGCCUCUCUAAUGAAUGUGCAGGCUGCAGAGGAGACUGAGAAUGCAGUGGAUCCUUCAGAAGCCAUAGUGAAUGCUGUGGCUGAGAUGCACUCUGUUUCUGCAGUGCCUCAGGAAACCCUGUAUCCAGGAGGGCAGACUCCAGAGCCAGCCAACCAGCUGCUUGACUUCUUACAGCAAGAGGCUCAGUCUGGUGUGCCAACUGCACGAGAGGUGCAGAGCCAAAGCUGUGCAGAACCUGCUGAACUCGGUGAGGUUUUAAGUGAUGAAGACCAGGAAGUCCUUUGUGAUACAGCGGACAGUGAGGAGAGCAGGGAAUGUGAUCUGGAAACUCCAGCAGAUGAGGCAGAGCCACAGGAGAGCGUUGUGCAACAAAUGCUGCAGCUUCCAGCAGAACUGGCUUGUGCUCAGAUGCCUGCAGAGGAAGAAGCUGAGUUUCUCAGUGUGGUACCCUUGCUGUAUGAAGUGCCUGGGAGUGGAGGAGAUGGACAGGUUGAAAAUGCUGAAGCUUGAGAGAAGUGAGGAUGGAUGGGUUGGUAUUCAGUGCCUUUGGGAAUUUCAGCCCCCACCCCCCCCAAAAAAAGCAAUUAUCUCAGCCUUUUGAACCCAAUGUUUGUUUUUUUUCAAGUGUGUCCUGGACUUCAGAAAGUGACUUUGCUAAAGAGAUGUGUGAGGUGUGCAAUAGAUGUUUCUAGAAAUUCUCCUGUGUUAUAGCUUGGUUGUGCUUCUGUUUAGUAGCUGAUUUGCAGGAGAUCUUGCUUUACUGGGAGAGGAGUGAUUCACUUCAAUAGUGGUUUCACUGAAGGAAUGCUGAGCACUGCAUCCCCCAGUGUGGUACAGUGAUAGGAGGUUCCAGUGCAAAGUCUUACAAGUCUGUGGACAGGACAGACAAAAGCUCCUCUAACCCAGCACAGUCAGAUGCCUUCUGUAGCUCACAGACACCGAAUCAAACCUUCCAACCACCUCCUUUUCUACUUACACAUUUGGUGACUGUUACUUUGGAAGCAUUGAACGUGCUUUCAUGAGUCAAUGAAAUAAUACUCUGGUUUGUUCUUUGUAUUUCUGGUGAUAGCUGAUACAAUCUGUACUCUGUGCAGAACUUAAAGAAACAAAUGUAGUCUUGAUCAGAAUGCAUAAGUCAGUGUAUUGCGGUUUAAAUCUACUGACUUUUAAUGUUCAUGACUUUAUGAUACCAAUAAAAUAUUUUAAGAUCAUGGCAAAAACAUGCUGGAUGUGUUUGAAUUGUUGGGCCCUUCUUAUAGAACAACUGGCAAACGAUGCUGAGCUCUUCUGUACACACUUCAGGGGAUAAAUGGUGACAGCCUUCUCAGAAAGCCCUCUUACAAAACCUGAUGACCAUCUGAACUAAUGUGCCCAGAGGUAGAUGUGGGAGGGGGGCUACAAAGGCAUGCUGGAACUCUUGCAUGUUUUCUAAUGUGCCUGAGGAGCAGGACUUUAAACAAUGCUGAGAAAAAGCUGAAAGAAAUCAUAUCACACUGAUGACAUCCCUUACUUUUUCUUGCAUGUAGCUGAAAGCUGAGGGGUUGAGAGCUGGACAUGCUAAAUGAGUUGAUACGUAAGGGAUGUUACUCCGUACUUUGGGAAUA